rnacentral:tRNA from 1 species
GGAGGAUUCGCAUAGUGGCCUAGUGCGCGCUUGGAAAGCGCGUUGAGUGAAAGCUCUCAGGGGUUCGAAUCCCCUAUCCUCCG